CUCCCUUCUCUGGAUAAAUAUUGACGCAUAAAUCCCCUAUAAAGCGCUGCUCACAUGGACACAGCAACAACCCUUCAACAGAAGACAUCAGCCAGCCAUCCACAAUCUACAGGACAAUAACCAGCCAUCCACAAUCUACAGGACAAUAACCAGCCAUCCACAAUCUACAGGACAAUAACCAGCCAUCCACAAUCUACAGGACAAUAACCAGCCAUCCACAAUCUACAGGACAAUAACCAGCCAUCCACAAUCUCUCUAUGAGGGGAAUUGUCCUUCUCUUUCUGCUGUCUCUCUGGCCUGGAGGAAAGGUGGAUGCUAUCGAUCAACAGAUCUUGGCUAAUGUGGUACAAGAGAUGAGAAGGUUCGGCCUGCCGGGAUGCCAGUAUGCCAUGGCUGUCUUACUCACCCAACAGCAGUGCAACAAUGGAGCAAACUUUAGAAUAAGCGGGC